GUUGCUUCGGCAGCCGAGGAUAAACAGAAUAAUAAAUGAAAUUCCUCUUUGACGGGCCAAUAGAAAUAUUGGCCAUUUUUUU
rnacentral:sRNA from 1 species